UAGGGAAUCUUCCGCAAUGGGCGAAAGCCUGACGGAGCAACGCCGCGUGAGUGAUGAAGGUCUUCGGAUCGUAAAACUCUGUUAUUAGGGAAGAACAAAUGUGUAAGUAACUAUGCACGUCUUGACGGUACCUAAUCAGAAAGCCACGGCUAACUACGUGCCAGCAGCCGCGGUAAUACGUAGGUGGCAAGCGUUAUCCGGAAUUAUUGGGCGUAAAGCGCGCGUAGGCGGUUUUUUAAGUCUGAUGUGAAAGCCCACGGCUCAACCGUGGAGGGUCGUUGGAAACUGGAAAACUUGAGUGCAGAAGAGGAAAGUGGGAUUCCAUAUGUAGCGGUGUAAUACGCAGAGAUAUGGAGAAACACCAGUGGCGAAGGAGACUUUCUGGUCUUUAACUGACGCAGAUGUGCGAAAGCGUGAGGAUCAAGCAGG
rnacentral:rRNA from 1 species